rnacentral:RNase_P_RNA from 1 species
GGUAGGGGUGUUCUGACUGUCGGUGCAACUGAAAGGUUGUGUUGAGGAAAGUCCGCCCACCGUCAAAAAGCAACCAUGGUGACAUGGCCCAGGAAACUGGUGGCAACCACGUCAGAAACGCCACGUUCCAGAUUCGUCGUGAUGUUCGCGAAUCCUCGAGCGAUCGGGGAGAGAACCAACGGAGCAUGUUUCUGGAGAUCGAUGAAACGGUGAGUCCUUGCUGGUGCAAGUCGUUAUGACGCUUAGUCUAAUGUCAGACCAAUCCGUCCUUACGGGGAUUGACAGAAGGCGGCUUAUCAGCCUCUACC